rnacentral:rRNA from 1 species
GCAUAUCAAUAAGCGGAGGAAAAGAAACCAACGGGGAUUGCCCUAGUAACGGCGAGUGAAGCGGCAACAGCUCAAAUUUGAAAUCUGGCUCUUUCAGAGUCCGAGUUGUAAUUUGCAGAGGGCGCUUUGGCUUUGGCAGCGGUCCAAGUUCCUUGGAACAGGACGUCACAGAGGGUGAGAAUCCCGUACGUGGUCGCUAGCUAUUGCCGUGUAAAGCCCCUUCGACGAGUCGAGUUGUUUGGGAAUGCAGCUCUAAAUGGGAGGUAAAUUUCUUCUAAAGCUAAAUAUUGGCCAGAGACCGAUAGCGCACAAGUAGAGUGAUCGAAAGAUGAAAAGCACUUUGGAAAGAGAGUCAAACAGCACGUGAAAUUGUUGAAAGGGAAGCGCUUGCAGCCAGACUUGCUUGCAGUUGCUCAUCCGGGCUUUUGCCCGGUGCACUCUUCUGUAGGCAGGCCAGCAUCAGUUUGGGCGGUGGGAUAAAGGUCUCUGUCACGUACCUCUCUUCGGGGAGGCCUUAUAGGGGAGACGACAUACCACCAGCCUAGACUGAGGUCCGCGCAUCUGCUAGGAUGCUGGCGUAAUGGCUGUAAGCGGCCCGUCUUGAAACACGGACCAAGGAGUCUAACAUCUAUGCGAGUGUUUGGGUGUCAAGCCCGAGCGCGUAAUGAAAGUGAACGGAGGUGGGAACCCGCAAGGGUGCACCAUCGACCGAUCCUGAAGUUUACGGAAGGAUUUGAGUAAGAGCAUGGCUGUUGGGACCCGAAAGAUGGUGAACUAUGCUUGAAUAGGGUGAAGCCAGAGGAAACUCUGGUGGAGGCUCGCAGCGGUUCUGACGUGCAAAUCGAUCGUCAAAUUUGGGCAUAGGGGCGAAAGACUAAUCGAACUAUCUAGUAGCUGGUUCUGC